rnacentral:tRNA from 1 species
AUGCCCCUAGCUCAGCGGUAGAGCGGCGGUCUCCAAAACCGCGCGUCCGAGGUUCGACUCCUCGGGGGUGUG